rnacentral:rRNA from 1 species
UACAGAGGGUGCGAGCGUUAAUCGGAAUUACUGGGCGUAAAGCGUGCGUAGAUGGUUAUGUAAGUCGGAUGUGAAAGCCCCGGGCUCAACCUGGGAAUUGCAUUCGAGACUGCAUAGCUAGGAUGCGGAAGAGGGAAGCGGAAUUUCCGGUGUAGCGGUGAAAUGCGUAGAUAUCGGAAGGAACACCAGUGGCGAAAGCGGCUUCCUGGUCCAGCAUCGACGUUCAGGCACGAAAGCGUGGGGAGCAAACCGG